CAGCCGCCGCGGUAAUACGUAGGGGGCAAGCGUUGUCCGGAAUCAUUGGGCGUAAAGCGCGUGUAGGCGGCUCGAUAAGUCUGCUGUGAAAGUCCAGGGCUCAACCCUGGAAUGCCGGUGGAAACUGUCGAGCUCGAGUCCGGAAGAGGCAAGUGGAAUUCCUGGUGUAGCGGUGAAAUGCGCAGAUAUCAGGAGGAACACCAAUGGCGAAGGCAGCUUGCUGGGACGGUACUGACGCUGAGACGCGAAAGCGUGGGGAGCAAACAGGAUUAGAUACCCCCGUAGUCCCUGUCUCUUAUAA
rnacentral:rRNA from 1 species